UACGUAGGGGGCAAGCGUUAUCCGGAUUUACUGGGUGUAAAGGGGGCGCAGACGGCGCGGCAAGUCCGGAGUGAAAUCCCAGGGCCCAACCCUGGGGCUGCUCUGGAAACUGCCGGGCUGGAGUGCUGGAGGGGCAGGCGGAAUUCCCAGUGUAGCGGUGAAAUGCGUAGAUAUUAGGAGGAACACCGGUGGCGAAGGCGGCCUGCUGGACAGCGACUGACGUUGAGGCCCGAAAGCGUGGGGAGCAAACAGG
rnacentral:rRNA from 1 species